rnacentral:lncRNA from 1 species
GCAAGUGAGGUAAUCUUCACACAACCCAUGUAAUACAUAAGGGAAAGAGAUACAUAGUUGGCUUACAAUCGCCACUUCACACAAUUACAUGAAUAAAGCAUUACAUCAUCCAGAUACAAUCAAGGUCCGACUACGGAACCAAAAUAAAAGAAGAACCCCAAAUGCGACAAAGGUCCCCGAUCGACCCCAACUGGGCUCCACUACUGAUCAACUAGAACGAAACAACACAAAGGGCAAGAUCUUCAUCGAGCUCCUCCUUAAGCUUCAUUGCGUCACCUGCUCGGUAACAUAGGCACCUGCAAACUUGUUUUGGAAGUAUCUGUGAGCCACGGGGACUCAGCAAUCUCGCACCCGCGAGAUCAAGACUAUUUAAGCUUAUGGGUAAGGUAAAGGUAUGAGGUGGAGCUGCAACAAGCGACUAGCAUAUAUGGUGGCUAACAUACGCAAAUGAGAGCGAGAAGAGAAGGCAAAGCACGGUCGAUAAAGGUAUGAUCAAGAAGUGAUCCUGGACUACCUACGUCAAGCAUAACUCCAACAACCGUGUUCACUUUCCGGACUCCGCCAGAAAGAGACCAUCACGGUUACACACGCGGUUGAUGUAUUUUAAUUAAGGUCAACUUCGGGUUUUCUACAACCGGACGUUAACAAAUUCCCAUCUGCCCAUAACCGCGGGCACGGCUUUCGAAAGUUCAAAUCUCUGCAGGGAUGUCCCAACUUAGCCCAUGACAAGCUCUCACAGUCAACGAAGGAAUAGACCUCCACCCGAGACACUCCGAUCAGACUCGGUAUCCCGGUACAACAAGACAUUUCGACAGGGUAAAACUAAACCAGCAACACCGCCCGAAUGUGCCGACAAAUCCCGAUAGGAGCUGCACAUAUCUCUUUCUCAGGGCACACUCAGAUGAGACUAGCUACGAGUAAAACCAGCCCUCAAGUUUCCCCGAGGUGGCCCCGCAGGCAGCUCAGUUCAGACCAACACUCAGAGGAGCACUGGCCCGGGGGGGGGGUAAAAUAAUGAUGACCCUCAGGAGCGCGACUCCCAAGGGAAAAGAAAAGGCUAGGUGGCAAAUGGUAAAACCAAUGUUGGGCAUUGCUGGAGAAGCUUUACUUAAGGCGAACUGUCAAGGGGUUCCCAUUAUAGCCCAACCGCGUAAGGGACGCAAAAUCCGGGAACAUAACACCGAUAUGACGGAAACUAGGGCGGCAAGAGUGGAACAAAACACCAGGCAUAAGGCCGAGCCUUCCACCCUUUACCAAGUAUAUAGAUGCAUUAAUUAAAUAAGAUAUAUUGUGAUAUCCCAACCAGUAAACAUGUCCAACAAGGAACAACAUCUCCAUGUUCCAACAAGGAACAAACUUCAAUCUUCACCUGCAACUAACAAUGCUAUAAGAGGGGCUGAGCAAAGCGGUAACAUAGCCAAUCAACGGUUUGCUAGGACAUGGUGGGUUAGAGGUUUGACAUGGCAAUUUGGGAGGCUGACAAGCAAAUGGUAGGCAUCGUAGCAUUGGCAUGGCAAAAGAGCGAGCAAACUAGCAUAGCAAAGAUAGUAGUGAUUUCGAGGGUAUGAUCAUCUUGCCUGAAAUCCCGCAAGGAAGAAGAACGAGUCCAUGAAGAAGACAAACGG